CUUUCGAAAUAUACAAUUGCUCUACUUCUAUAAUUAAUAAUUAAUUAAUUAAUCGUAAUUAAAAAAUCAAAAUAAAAUUUCCAAUUAUCUCUUAUUGUAAAGACUUAUUUGGACCGUAAUUGCUGCCAAAAAAUUGCUCCUCCUUUUAUCUAUAAGAAUUGAUAAUUGUUUUGUUCAUAAAACCGUUUUUAAUUAAUUAAUAAUAUAAAUAAUUAUUUUGCACCUUUAAACCUGUGAAUGACUAUUGUGACGUCAUCGUCGCGACAAUUUGAUUGUCGUUUUUAUGAGGACGAGACAUAGUGGGAUAUUAGGUUACAUGCGUAUGUGACUUUGUAAACAAACAUUUUAUUGUUAUAUUCUAUUUAGGCUCGGUGUAUAAUUAUAAAAAAAUAAUAAUUUUAAUGAUCCUGAAAUCAAACAGUGUUCUAUUUCGUAAAGUUAUCUAUUAGUAAUAGAGAAAAGCUGUUUUUUUUGUCAUAUUCAACAUUCACUCAAAAAAGGAUUACUUCUAUAUAAAAGGGAUGCUAACUGAGCCAAUAAUUUUAUGAUCACGUUUUUCUUUAUAUAAGAGUAUUAAUAAAUAGAUGUAAUUAAAUUACCAAAGCAAUUGUAUUCUAACUUAACUAUACAAAUAGUUAUUGCGAAUUUAAAAAAUCAAUAUUAAUUGUGGAUUUGCUCCAAGUACUUAUAAAAAUAAAAAAAUUUUUAUCAAUCGGUUAAUUGAAUCAUAUGGAAGACGUGACAGUAACUCCAGCAUCUGAAAAUACUGUUAAUCAAGAUGAACUUAACCAUCAACAGCACCGGAACAUUGACGGCAAGGUAUCGGAAUCAAUACUUCGUAUUGGCAAAAAAAAAAUCAGUCAAUUAUCUUGGACGCAAGUAUGCAGAAGACCAAGUGUAUUUUUCGAAAGCUAAAGUCUUGGGGGAAAUAUACUCGUUUAUAAGAGUUGCUAUCAAAACCAGACCUGAUUAUAACGGCGAUUCUGAAAUCUCGCUAUGCAAUUCAGUAAGAGUACAUCUGUGUUUAAUAAAUUCGGUUCUACGGAUAAAAAAGUGUAAGGCAUAGUCAUAACAUUUUCCUAUAUCGGACCACAGACAAGCAAUAAAUAAUUGCUAUUAUAUUGUAUUCAAUGAAGUAAUCAUCCAGUCCCACCAUCUUAGCUCUAGCGUGUCACAACAUUUUAGAAAGAAACUUUUGCAGCGUUAACUUGGUGCUCCUUUAUUAUUUCGGUUAACACUAGUUAACUAAAAUCUAAAAGUAAAUUAUUCAAAUUUAUCUUAAAUUUAAGAAAUAAUGGAGAAAUGUAUAUAAAGUGAAUUUCAAUAAUUGUCAUUUGAUACUGUGAUUGACAAUGGAAGUCCUAGAUUCAAGACUUACUCACGACAAUGUGCCACUCUGUAUUAAUGAUUCCAUCAAAAAGUUCACAUUGAGGCAGAUACCGGGGGACACAAAAUCCUUUGUGAAAGCGAGAUACAUCUUUAGAAUUUCUAUGAUUCGCGCUGAUCUAUGCUAAACGAGUUGAUCUAUUGAUUGCCAUUGUAUCUAUGGAUAAUCAGAUGAUCUACUCUAAUAAUAAUGACGUCAAUGAUACCAUCGAUGUCUGUCCACAAAUUACUUCUGUCAACGAUACAUUCUGCCUAGUCCAGGAGAGUUCAAUUGGAACGAUAUGACCCAAGUAAUAAUACUGGGUUUGUUUUCUUUUGGCUAUGUAAUCGGAAAUGUUCUGGAUAGAUGAAUGGAUGAAAAAAUCCACGGUAACUUAGUUUACGGUUUCGGCAUAUUUUUAACUCUUCUAUUAACCGUAGUAGGCCUAUUUGCUGCUUACUGGAAUUUUGUUCCGUUUUUAGCUGUAAGAACUGCUGAAGGAUUUACUGAGGGUGUGUCGUUUCCUCCAUUGCAUUCAAUGAAUGUACACUGGACCCCGCCAUUAAAUCGAAGUAAAUUUACUGCUUUAGUUUAUGCAGGUUACUAUACUUUAAUUAACAAUUACAUAUUACAAUGGUAUGUUAAAGUUUCCAGAUACCUCACCCAUGCAGUUGUCAGAGGACAACAUGUAAGCAUAGAAGUCGACAAACUAGAGAUAGAAAACAGUAAUUCGAUCAACAGAAAAAUCAAGAAAAAUACUAUAUUACUUCAAAUUCAGUAACCUUGCUUUAAUUUUUUGAAUGAAAAAAAAAAAAAACAAUUAAUAAGAAAUUAUCAUUUAAUAAUUUAUAUUAAAAGGCACAUAUAAAAUCCUUAAUUUUCUACAAGUCAAGUUUCUAUUUUUUUAUUUUUCAUUAAAUAUGUAAUUUUUCAUUUUUUAGUAUUUUAAAAAUUAAUUAAUGUCUGCCUGAAUCUGUUAUCACUACUUUGUUCAAUCUAUCUUACUUACAUGAUGAUGCACUAUUAAUUUAGUUGUUUUAUUAUCAUAAAAAUCGACUUUAUGUUUCUAUA